rnacentral:rRNA from 1 species
UUGGAGGGCAAGUCUGGUGCCAGCAGCCGCGGUAAUUCCAGCUCCAAUAGCAUAUAUUAAAGUUGUUGCAGUUAAAAAGCUCGUAGUUGAAUUUCGGGGUCAGUAGGUUGGUCAUGCCACUGGUAUGUACUGGUCUCACUGAUUCCUCCUUCCUGAUGAGCCGUAAUGCCAUUAAUUUGGUGUUGCGAGGAAUCUGGACUGUUACUUUGAAAAAAUUAGAGUGUUUAAAGCAAGCUAACGCUUGAAUACAUUAGCAUGGAAUAAUGAAAUAGGACGUUCGAUCCUAUUUUGUUGGUUUCUAGGAUUGACGUAAUGAUUAAUAGGGAUAGUUGGGGGCAUUAGUAUUCAAUUGUCAGAGGUGAAAUUCUUGGAUUUAUUGAAGACUAACUACUGCGAAAGCAUUUGCCAAGGAUGUUUUCAUUAAUCAAGAACGAAAGUUAGGGGAUCGAAGACGAUCAGAUACCGUCGUAGUCUUAACCAUAAACUAUGCCGACUAGGGAUCGGAUGAUGUUAAUUUUUUAAUGACUCAUUCGGCGCCUUACGGGAAACCAAAGUGUUUGGGUUC